ACGUAGGGUGCGAGCGUUAAUCGGAAUUACUGGGCGUAAAGCGUGCGCAGGCGGUUGUGUAAGACAGGUGUGAAAUCCCCGGGCUUAACCUGGGAACUGCGCUUGUGACUGCACGGCUAGAGUGCGGCAGAGGGGGAUGGAAUUCCGCGUGUAGCAGUGAAAUGCGUAGAUAUGCGGAGGAACACCAAUGGCGAAGGCAAUCCCCUGGGCCUGCACUGACGCUCAUGCACGAAAGCGUGGGGAGCAAACAGGA
rnacentral:rRNA from 1 species